rnacentral:rRNA from 1 species
UACGGAGGGUGCAAGCGUUAUCCAGAUUCACUGGGUUUAAAGGGUGCGUAGGUGGGUUGAUAAGUCAGUGGUGAAAUCCCCGAGCUUAACUUGGGAACUGCCAUUGAUACUAUUGAUCUUGAAUACCGUGGAGGUCAGCGGAAUAUGUCAUGUAGCGGUGAAAUGCUUAGAUAUGACAUAGAACACCAAUUGCGAAGGCAGCUGGCUACGCGAAUAUUGACACUGAUGCACGAAAGCGUGGGGAUCAAACAGG